UGGGGAAUAUUGCGCAAUGGGCGAAAGCCUGACGCAGCGACGCCGCGUGAGGGAUGAAGGUCUUCGGAUCGUAAACCUCUGUCAGGAGGGAAGAAUGGCGAGGGUGCUAAUCAGCCCUCGAUUGACGGUACCUCCAAAGGAAGCACCGGCUAACUCCGUGCCAGCAGCCGCGGUAAUACGGAGGGUGCGAGCGUUAAUCGGAAUCACUGGGCGUAAAGCGCGCGUAGGCUGUUUUGUAAGUUGGGGGUGAAAUCCCACGGCUCACCCGUGGAACUGCCUUUAAUACUGCAAGACUAGAAUUCGGGAGAGGGUGGCGGAAUUCCAGGUGUAGGAGUGAAAUCCGUAGAUAUCUGGAGGAACAUCAGUGGCGAAGGCGGCCACCUGGACCGAUAUUGACGCUGAGGUGCGAAAGCGUGGGGAGCAAACA
rnacentral:rRNA from 1 species